GACGAACGCUGGCGGCGUGCUUAACACAUGCAAGUCGAACGAGACGAUUGAAAGCUUGCUUUUGAAAGUCGAGUGGCAAACGGGUGAGUAACGCGUGGACAACCUGCCUUUGAGAUGGGGACAACAGUUCGAAAGGACUGCUAAUACCGAAUGUUGUAUAUUUUCCACAUGGAAGAUAUAUUAAAGAUGGCCUCUAUUUAUAAGCUAUCGCUCAAAGAUGGGUCUGCGUCUGAUUAGCUAGUUGGUGGGGUAAUGGCCUACCAAGGCAACGAUCAGUAGCCGGUCUGAGAGGAUGAACGGCCACAUUGGGACUGAGACACGGCCCAGACUCCUACGGGAGGCAGCAGUGGGGAAUCUUCCACAAUGGACGAAAGUCUGAUGGAGCAACGCCGCGUGAGUGAAGAAGGGUUUCGGCUCGUAAAGCUCUGUUGUCGGGGACGAACGUGAGAUACUUGAAUAAAGUGUCUCAAUGACGGUACCUGACGAGGAAGCCACGGCUAACUACGUGCCAGCCGCCGCAGUAA
rnacentral:rRNA from 1 species